rnacentral:rRNA from 1 species
GAUGAACGCUGGCGACGUGCCUAAUACAUGCAAGUCGAGCGAAUGACGAGGAGCUUGCUCCUCUGAUUUAGCGGCGGACGGGUGAGCAACACGUGGGUAACCUGCCUGUAAGACGGGGAUAACUCCGGGAAACCGGAGCUAAUACCGGAUGAUAACGAGAAGCGCCUGCUUCUUUUUUGAAAGUCGGUUUCGGCUGACGCUUACAGAUGGGCCCGCGGCGCAUUAGCUAGUUGGUGAGGUAACGGCUCACCAAGGCGACGAUGCGUAGCCGACCUGAGAGGGUGAUCGGCCACACUGGGACUGAGACACGGCCCAGACUCCUACGGGAGGCAGCAGUAGGGAAUCUUCGGCAAUGGACGAAAGUCUGACCGAGCAACGCCGCGUGAGCGAUGAAGGCCUUCGGGUCGUAAAGCUCUGUUGUCAGAGAAGAACAAGUACCGGAGUAACUGCCGGUACCUUGACGGUACUUGACCAGAAAGCCACGGCUAACUACGUGCCAGCCGCCGCAGUAA